CAGCCGCCGCGGUAAUACCGGCGGCCCGAGUGGCGGUCACUAUUAUUGGGCUUAAAGCGUCCGUAGCCGGGUUGGGAAGUCCUCCGGGAAAUCUGGCCGCUUAACGGUCAGAAUGCCGGAGGAUACUCCCAGCCUAGGGAGCGGGAGAGGCCGAGGGUAUUCCCGGGGUCGGGGUGAAAUCCUAUAAUCCCGGGAGGACCACCUGUGGCGAAGGCGCUCGGCUGGAACGCGUCCGACGGUGAGGGACGAAGGCCAGGGGAGCAAACCGGAUUAGAUACCCGGGUAGUCCUGGCUGUAAACGAUGCGGACUUUGUGUCGGACAAGCUAUGAGCUUGUCCGGUGCCGGAGGGAAACCGUUAAGUCCGCCGCCUGGGGAGUACGGCCGCAAGGCUGAAACUUAAAGGAAUUGGCGGG
rnacentral:rRNA from 1 species